AUUGAACGCUGGCGGCAGGCUUAACACAUGCAAGUCGAGCGAGCGGCGGACGGGUGAGUAAUGUCUGGGAAACUGCCUGAUGGAGGGGGAUAACUACUGGAAACGGUAGCUAAUACUGCAUCCAUCAUAUGGGCCAAGAUGGGCUUAGCUAGUAGGUGGGGUAAUGGCGCACCUAGGCAACGAGCCCUAGCCGGGCUGAGAGGAUGACCAGCCACACUGGAACUGAGCGACUGUACAAACUCCUACGGGAGGAAGCAGUGGGGAAUAUUGCACAAUGGGCGCAAGCCUGAUGCAGCCAUGCCGCUUAUGUGAAGAAGGCCUACUGGUUGGAAAGCACUUUCAGCGAGGAGGCGUUACUCGCAGAAGAAGCACCGGCUAACUCCGUGCCAGCAGCCGCGGUAAUAC
rnacentral:rRNA from 1 species